rnacentral:rRNA from 1 species
UACGUAGGGGGCGAGCGUUAAUCGGAAUUACUGGGCGUAAAGCGUGCGCAGGCGGUUGUGUAAGACAGGUGUGAAAUCCCCGGGCUUAACCUGGGAAUUGCAUUUGUGACUGCACGGCUAGAGUUUGGCAGAGGGGGGUAGAAUUCCACGUGUAGCAGUGAAAUGCGUAGAUAUGUGGAGGAAUACCGAUGGCGAAGGCAGCCCCCUGGGUCAAGACUGACGCUCAUGCACGAAAGCGUGGGGAGCAAACAGG